rnacentral:rRNA from 1 species
UACGGAGGAUCCAAGCGUUAUCCGGAAUCAUUGGGUUUAAAGGGUCCGUAGGCGGUUUUGUAAGUCAGUGGUGAAAGCCCAUCGCUCAACGGUGGAACGGCCAUUGAUACUGCAAGACUUGAAUUAUUGGGAAGUAACUAGAAUAUGUAGUGUAGCGGUGAAAUGCUUAGAGAUUACAUGGAAUACCAAUUGCGAAGGCAGGUUACUAUCAAUAUAUUGACGCUGAUGGACGAAAGCGUGGGGAGCGAACAGG